rnacentral:rRNA from 1 species
AUUGAACGCUGGCGGCAGGCCUAACACAUGCAAGUCGAGCGGAUGAAGGGAGCUUGCUCCUGGAUUCAGCGGCGGACGGGUGAGCAAUGCCUAGGAAUCUGCCUGGUAGUGGGGGAUAACGUCCGGAAACGGGCGCUAAUACCGCAUACGUCCUGAGGGAGAAAGUGGGGGAUCUUCGGACCUCACGCUAUCAGAUGAGCCUAGGUCGGAUUAGCUAGUUGGUGGGGUAAAGGCCUACCAAGCCGACGAUCCGUAACUGGUCUGAGAGGAUGAUCAGUCACACUGGAACUGAGACACGGUCCAGACUCCUACGGGAGGCAGCAGUGGGGAAUAUUGGACAAUGGGCGAAAGCCUGAUCCAGCCAUGCCGCGUGUGUGAAGAAGGUCUUCGGAUUGUAAAGCACUUUAAGUUGGGAGGAAGGGCAGUAAGUUAAUACCUUGCUGUUUUGACGGUACCAACAGAAUAAGCACCGGCUAACUUCGUG